GGGGGCGAUCUGGUAUCGACCGGGCAGAGGAGUCGCAAGUUGCGAGUUGAGGUUGCCGGGAGGCCUCACUAAACACCUGGCAUCAAUUUAACUGCGAACGAGAGCUACGCUCUCGCUGCCUAGUUACUAGGUAGCCUUCUCGCCUGCCUCGCCCGCGUGGCAGGACGGGGAGUCAACACGAGCGGGCUGGCCUCCGAAUUUCGCCCGUGGACGAGGAGGCGAGACCCAACAGGGGCUGGCGCCGACGGAUCCUGUCGAUCGGAGCCCGAGGCGCGAGAUCCAAACGACCGACUACACUCGUAGACGCUUGCGAUGAAUUGUCUCGGGACGGGGGUUCGAUUCCCCCCGCCUCCACCA
rnacentral:tmRNA from 1 species